rnacentral:rRNA from 1 species
GAUUAUGGCUCAGGAUUAACGCUGGCGGCGUGCCUAAUACAUGCAAGUCGAAUGGUAGUAGCAAUACAAACCAUGGCGAACGGGUGAGUAACACGUAGGUAACCUGUCUUUAAGACGAGGAUAACCAUUGGAAACGAUGGAUAAUACUGGAUAGGACAUCACAAAGGGCAUCCUUAGAUGUUUAAAGAUUAUUAUGUCACUUAGAGAGGGGCCUGCGGCGCAUUAGCUAGUUGGUGAGGUAAGAGCCCACCAAGGCGAUGAUGCGUAGCCGGACUGAGAGGUUGAACGGCCACAAUGGAACUGAGAACGGUCCAUACUCCUACGGGAGGCAGCAGUAGGGAAUUUUCGGCAAUGGGCGCAAGCCUGAACCCGAGCAACGCCGCGUGAACGAAGAAGUUAUUCGUAAUGUAAAGUUCUUUUAUUAGGGACGAAAAGACAGAUUGACGGUACCUAAUGAAUAAGCUCCGGCUAACUACGUGCCAGCAGCCGC